AUUAGGCAUUAGGUUAUUCAUUGGUUGGUGCUGAUAGAGGAGGUUGGAUUAUGUCUAUAUAAACAACAUGCAUGUGUGACCUAAACGAGCGUCACUUCCCUGGAUCCCAUUUCGCUUCCGGUUUAUGGACUGAGGGCUGUUGUGAUUUUGCUUCACAGGACGAUCGCAGCAACUGUAGUCAUCUCCGUGGCUGCAGAUAUCGUGGCUUUGACUUAUUGUUCGUGGUGUGUGUCUCACAUCUGUUUAUGCGACCAUAUUCAGUCAAUACAAUGCCGUGUAUGGGCGGAUGACGACUGUUAUUUUCCCUCGUGUAUCCUGAGCUUCACCAGCUGAAUGAUUAAACUGAAACUAUACUUCGCAUUGCAACUAUGGAGUAUUAUCUUCACCUCUACUGACUCCCGGGUCCCUGCGCCUGUUAUAUGGAGCUGCAGACCUUUUCUGAAGAGCAGGGCUGAAGUCUUUAGGUGGUGAUUGUGUUUCCUCACGGACUGCUGUGAUUUACCGUGUGCACUGGGGCUUUUGGGAGUGGCGUAAGUUUGCAGUGUACGUAGAGUAAAGGCCUGUACGGCUGGUCACUUAGCCCAGGCUGCAGCUCCUUGUGU